UACGGGGGGGGGCAAGCGUUGUUCGGAAUUACUGGGCGUAAAGGGCUCGUAGGUGGCCAACUAAGUCGGACGUGAAAUCCCUCGGCUUAACCGGGGAACUGCGUCCGAUACUGGUUGGCUUGAGUUUGGGAGGGGGAUGCGGAAUUCCAGGUGUAGCGGUGAAGUGCGUAGAUAUCAGGAGGAACACCGGUGGCGAAGGCGGGUCUCUGGGCCGAUACUGACGCUGAGGAGCGAAAGCGUGGGGAGCGAACAGG
rnacentral:rRNA from 1 species